rnacentral:tRNA from 1 species
UAAUUUUUUAUUCAAAAAUGAUUUUAAAUUGCAAAUUUAAAGGUAACUUUCUAGUUAAAAAUU